GGGACUUACUAGAAGAGGAACUCUUCCUUCUGGUCUUGUUACACAUACUCUUCCUCACUACCACACUCUUUCCCUCUCUCUCUCUCUAGAAGAUCCCUCUAACCUUGGAAAAGAUCAAGGUUUUGAUCUAGGGAAAAGCUUUUGAGUGGCCUAGCUAGCUUCUUGGAGCAAGAAAAAGUUCGGGAGCUCGGACUAGAGAUGAGUUCUUGGAGAUUUGGGUUAGGGUUUCGUAUUUUGGCUUUAUUUUGGGAUUUUGUAAACCUUAGAUGAAUCUAGGCUAUAAAUAGUGGAGAUUCACAAAAGUAUUUGGGGUUUUGUCCUAAAUUUGGAAAACUCUAGGUUGAAAGAGGGCUUUUGCCCUAGAAGGGUUUAAAAAAAUUCUUUAACGCUUACAAACUCUAAUUAAAGGGGAGAAAAUCAAGUGGGACAACUCGAUUUCAUAAAAUAAAAUUAUUUGAAUAGUUGAAAUGGAUAACGAAUUGAUCUCUUGUUUAGGGCAAGAAGAGCUUGGUAGCAAGCUUGGAGAUCCAAGGAGUUAGGCCCAAUUGCAAGUAACUACAAGCAAUUGGAAGUGCUUUGAGGUCCAUCCACGGGGGUAGCAGUGGAGCGUGGAAGGGGCGUUGCAGAGUAGAUAGCGUCCUUUGAUCCUUUCUUCGUGAUAAGAUAGUUUUUAGUUGGGCCCCAUUUUGGAUUAUAUGUAUUAAGUGGGAAAUUUAAUAUAAUUUUGGAAAAUUGAAAAUAUCGUAAUUGAAUGGUUUAAAUCUGUAAUAAAAUGUAGUAUUCUACUUGUUGGUACUUUUCUUAUA